rnacentral:rRNA from 1 species
AUACAUGCAAGUCGAACGAGAAAAUUCCGCUUCGGUGGAAUGAGUAGAGUGGCAAACGGGUGAGUAACACGUGGGCAACCUGCUCUCAAAUUGGGGAUAACCUCGCCAACGCGGGGCUAAUACCGAAUGUUGUCCUAAUAUCGCAUGGUAUAAGGAUGAAAGCUUUUUUUUAAUAAGAAGGCGUUUGAGAAGGGGCCCGCGUCCUAUUAGCUUGUUGGUGAGGUAAUGGCUCACCAAGGCUGCGAUAGGUAGCCGGCCUGAGAGGGUGAUCGGCCACACUGGGACUGAGAUACGGCCCAGACUCCUACGGGAGGCAGCAGUAGGGAAUAUUGCGCAAUGGACGAAAGUCUGACGCAGCAACGCCGCGUGGGUGAUGAAGUUUUUCGGAACGUAAAACCCUGUCAGGAGGGAAGAAACUCUCGAUUUUUUCGGGACUGACGGUACCUCCAGAGGAAGCUCCGGCCAACUCCGUGCCAGCAGCCGCGGUAACACGGGGGGAGCAAGCGUUGUUCGGAUUUACUGGGCGUAAAGGGCGUGUAGGCGGAUGGGUCAGUCAGAUGUGAAAUUCCAGGGCUCAACUCUGGACCUGCAUUUGAUACUUCUCAUCUAGAGUAUGGGAGAGGAGAUCGGAAUUCCUGGUGUAGCGGUGAAAUGCGUAUAUCAGGAAGAACACCGGUGGCGAAGGCGGAUCUCUGGCCUAAUACUGACGCUGAUGCGCGAAAGCUGGGGGAGCAAACAGGAUUAGAUACCCUGGUAGUCCCAGCCGUAAACGAUGGGCACUAGGUGUUGGGGGUAUUGAUCCCCUCAGUGCCGGAGUUAACGCAUUAAGUGCCCCGCCUGGGGAGUACGCUCGCAAGGGUGAAACUCAAAGGAAUUGACGGGGGCCCGCACAAGCGGUGGAGCAUGUGGUUUAAUUCGAUGCAACGCGAAGAACCUUACCGGGGUUUGACAUGCCCGUCAUACCUUGAUGAAAGUCAAGGGUCAGUUCGGCUGGACGGUGCACAGGUGCUGCAUGGCUGUCGUCAGCUCGUGUCGUGAGAUGUUGGGUUAAGUCCCGCAACGAGCGCAACCCUUACCCUUAGUUGCCAGCACGUAAUGGUGGGAACUCUAAGGGGACUGCCUCGGAUAACGGGGAGGAAGGUGGGGAUGACGUCAAGUCCUCAUGGCCCUUAUGCUCCGGGCUACACACGUGCUACAAUGGUCGGUACAGAGGGCUGCGAAACCGCGAGGUGGAGCUAAUCCCAGAAAGCCGAUCUCAGUUCGGAUUGGAGUCUGCAACUCGACUCCAUGAAGUCGGAAUCGCUAGUAAUCGCGAAUCAGCAGGUCGCGGUGAAUACGUUCCCGGGCCUUGUACACACCGCCCGUCAAGCGAUGGAAGCUGGUGGUACCCGAAGUCAGUAGCCUAACUUUUCGAAGAGGGAGCUGCCGAAGGUAAAACUGGUGACUGGCGCUAAGUCGA